GUGGCGGACGGGUGAGUAACGCGUGAGCAACCUGCCUUUCAGAGGGGGACAACAGUUGGAAACGACUGCUAAUACCGCAUGAAGUAUUUUAAGGGCAUCCUUGAAAUACCAAAGAUUUAUCGCUGAAAGAUGGGCUCGCGUCUGAUUAGUUAGUUGGUGGGGUAAUGGCCUACCAAGACAGCGAUCAGUAGCCGGACUGAGAGGUUGAACGGCCACAUUGGGACUGAGAUACGGCCCAGACUCCUACGGGAGGCAGCAGUGGGGAAUAUUGGGCAAUGGGGGAAACCCUGACCCAGCAACGCCGCGUGAAGGAAGAAGGCUUUCGGGUUGUAAACUUCUUUGACGAGGGACGAAACAAAUGACGGUACCUCGAAAACAAGCCACGGCUAACUACGUGCCAGCAGCCGCGGUAAUACGUAGGUGGCAAGCGUUGUCCGGAUUUACUGGGUGUAAAGGGCGCGUAGGCGGAUAUGCAAGUCAGAUGUGAAAUACCGGG
rnacentral:rRNA from 1 species